GGGGCGCAGCUCAGAUGGUAGAGCGCUCGCUUAGCAUGCGAGAGGUACGGGGAUCGAUACCCGUGCCUCCA
rnacentral:tRNA from 1 species